UUUAACUCAGUGCGCUGUUGCAGAGGGUGAGUCACUUCUGGAAGCGCUAAACACAGCGGCAGGGAUUAAUCCAGAUUUACAUACAACUGCAGUGAUACUGAAGCGACUGGCCCAAAGACUCGAGCCUUCCAAUCAGAAUGCGCGACUGUCUAAAAGGCGGCGCUGGGUCAGCCGACUCGGACUGAGCUGAAGUGCAGGGGGCGCCGCUGAAGCAGGUCCGGCUGAACUCGUGUUGAGGUCCUGCUGCAUCUGGUUUUCAGUUAAAUCGCCUCGUUUGUUUUCCUCUGUUCUUUUGUUUGUUCGUAUCUGUGAAUAUUCUCGGUAGAUCUGCCCGUUUUGGUGUCCUGGCUGCCCUUUUCUCCCCCCUCGUCCACUACGACCACCCCUGCAGUCGCUCCGCUGCGUCCAGUGGUGGAGACCCACAGAAGUCCUACAGCAGCAGACUGAGAGUUUCUGAAGAACACUGGAGAGAGGAGCUGGAGAAGAACAGCUGCUGGUGGGAAAAUGGAUUACCAGAAGAACAGAAACAGAAGAUGUAAGAGGAGAGAAAGAAGAACAGAGCCUUUAACUGGUGAAGAGGUGAAGAGAGAUAUCCAGACAUUACUGAGACUGAGAACCCCCCCAGAGUGCUGUACAGUCAGUGGGAAAGAGAGUGAGGAGUGUGAUGUGAGGAAAGAGGAAGAGAGCAGUGAAAUAAAGAGGAGCCACAGUCUUGAUAGACUCACUAAUUUCUGUGAUGAGGACGACAGCGAGAACAGAGGACUGAUACAGGACUGUGUGGACUGCUAUGAGGAACCAGCUCCUGAUCAACGCCGGGAAGACCAAACAGUGAUGGUGGAUUUUUGGAGGCACAGUCGCCUCCAUCCAUCCAUCCACCAGUGAACAUCCAAGGAAGGGACACUGAGAGAAUGGACCCUUAUAGGUACCUGGGUUUUCACCUCAACCAUAGACUGGACUGGUCAGACAGCACCACUGCACUUUACAGGAAAGGCCAGAGCUGACUCUAUUGACUCUACCUGCUCAGGAGGCGGAGGUGUUUGGAGUGCAGGGGGUAUAAUCAAUACUCCAUGUGGAAUACUGUAAAUAUCCAUAUACACAUUAUCCUGAUCUAUAUCCUGAGAUACAUUAUCCUGAUAUAUGUAAAAAGCCUGUUAAAGCCUGUAAAUCUUGGACCACAUCUCUGGGAUUAUCUGGAGAAACUGAUGUGCUUGUGAUUAAAAUACUGUAUGAGCGUUUUCCUUCAACUGCAGUUCUGCAGAAGUUCUGAGAUAAACAGCAGAAACGUGUUCACCCUGUUGGCCAGCAGGACAUCAGUUUGAGAAAUAAAGGCUUUCAGAUUCAA